ensembl:lincRNA Gm14340 predicted gene 14340
AGAAAGGCUGCUGCACCAGGAACAAAAUAAGGUGAAUUCUAGACACAUGUGAGGAGCAGGCAGAAGACAGCAUGCUAGAGAGCAGACAUUUCAUUGUAUCUACACCGUAAAAUUGCAACUGUGUAUCCCUCAGAGCUGAGGUGUGCCACCUACGUGAACUGCAAGGCAGCCACAGCCCUGCCCUCUGUGUCCUCAUCCUGGAAGAGGGUUGCUUUGUCCAUCUGGAAAUCUCUUAGAAUUCCAUGUCUGUGGGAGGCAGAGGAGAACGCAGAGCUGGAAGGUGAUAUGCGGCUUCUGCCUGGAGACUCCGCCCCACCCCAGACUUCCUGUGUCUUCUGUGAAGAGGUGAUGAAUCCACUGAGUGGCACUGAAGCUGUGAGUCUGCAAUCAUGGAUACCACUGCAGAAGAGGUUUCCUUGUCCUUCACAGCCAGCAGGAGCAUGGAUCAUAGACUGCCGCAUGAGCUCUAAUGACAGCAAGGGCCAGGGACAUCCAUCUGGCCUCCGGCACCAGCACAUGCCACAGACCUCAGCAUGGUUUCUGGUGAUAGUACAAGCCACUAACAGACAUCAAUUCAGCCUCCAGCUGCAGCAGGACCAUGGACCCCCAGUAUGGCCCUUGUCAGCAGCACAGACCACAGACAUCUGUGUGGCCUUUAGUGGUACCAUAGGCCAUAGACAUUAACAUGGCCCCCAGUGCAGUACAGAGCAUGGCCUCAGGUGGCAGCUCAGGCUAUUCCCAUUUGCAUGGUCCCCAGAGGCACCAUGGCUCAUGGACAUCAACAUGUCAGCCUGCUUUCUUUUAGAAAACCCAGGACCACCUGCCCAGGGAUAACAUCAACCACAAUGGGCUGGGCUAUCCCCGUCAAUCACUACUUAAGAAAAUGCUUACAGGCUUGCCUACAGCUCGAUCUUAUGGAGGCAUUUUCUUAAUUGAGGUUCCCUCCUCUCAGAUGACUUUAGCUUGCAUCAAGUUGACACAAACUAUAUAAUACACUGGCCAUCUCCUCAGCCACAAGCAACAGAGGGCUGUCAUGCUGAGGAAGCACGGUUCAGCUCCAGACCAGCUAGCAAUUCCUCUUCCAGCAGCAAGCUCUUCUGACUUUAGGAAUGCCCAUCAGACCCAGGCUGCCUGUGCACUGACACGAAUGUGUUAUCUGUCUGUCCAUCCCCCCCCCCCAACACACACAUCUUAGGGUUACUGUUGCUGUAAUGAAACACUAUGACCAAAAGCAACUUGGAGAGGAAAGGGUUUAUUUCAUUCACAGCUCCAUGAAACAGUUCAUCAAAAGCAGUGAGGGGGGAACUCAAGCAGGCAGGAACCUGGAGGCAGGAGCUGAUGCAGAGGCCAUGGAGGGUGCUGCUGACUGGCUUGCUGCUCAUAGCUUAAUCAAUCUGCUUUAUUAUUAUUAUUAUUAUAUUAUUAUUAUUAUUUGUAUAUGCUCAGCCCAAGGAGUGGCACUAUUAGAAGGUAUGGCCCUGUUGGAGUAGGUGUGUCACUGUUGGCGUGGGCUUUAAGACCCUCAUCCUAGCUGCCUGGAAGCCAGUAUUCUGCUAGCAGCCUUCAGAUGAAGAUGUAGAACUCUCAGCUCCUCCUGCACCAUGCCUGCCUGGAUGCUGCCAUGUUCUUGCCUUGAUAUUUAAUGCACUGAACCUCUGAGCCUGUAGGCCAGCCCCAGUUAAAGGUCCUUACAAAAGUUGCCUCGGCCAUGAUGUCUGUAUACAGCAGUAAAACCCUAAGACAAUUAUUAUUAUUAUUAUCCUUUUGAGACAAGGUUUCUCUGUGUAGCCCUGGAUGUCCUAGAACUCACUCUAUAGACCAAGCUGGCCCUGAACUCAGAGAUUCACCUGCCUCUGACUCCCAAGUGCUGGGAUUAAAGAUGUACACAUACC